rnacentral:rRNA from 1 species
GACGAACGCUGGCGGCGUGCUUAACACAUGCAAGUCGAACGGAAAGGCCCCCACUUUUUUGGUGGGGGUGCUCGAGUGGCGAACGGGUGAGUAACACGUGGGUGAUCUGCCCUGUACUUCGGGAUAAGCUUGGGAAACUGGGUCUAAUACCGGAUAGGACCAUGGUUUAGUGUCUCAUGGUGGAAAAAUUAUUGUUUUGGUGCAGGAUGAGCUCGCGGCCUAUCAGCUUGUUGGUGGGGUAAUGGCCUACCAAGGCGUCGACGGGUAGCCGGCCUGAGAGGGUGGACGGCCAAAUUGGGACUGAGAUACGGCCCAGACUCCUACGGGAGGCAGCAGUGGGGAAUAGUGCACAAUGGGCGCAAGCCUGAUGCAGCGACGCCGCGUGGGGGAUGACGGCCUUCGGGUUGUAAACUCCUUUCGUUAGGGACGAAGCCGCACCUUUUUUGGGUGUGGUGACGGUACCUUUGUGAAGAAGCACCGGCUAACUACGUG